rnacentral:lncRNA from 1 species
UCAUUGAUUUCGGCACUUCGUUUUCUUAUGUAAUCUGUUCAGGUAAGUAAUUUUUGUCAUGUCUUUCAGUUGAUCCUUUAAUUGGUGCUUGUUUUUCUUCAUAUGAUAAAUAAUCAUUGGUGUAGCAAAAAAAUAUGUGGUACUUAGAUCAGGAGUUUAGGUAGGUCAUUGUUGUCACGGUUUUUGGUUCAUACUUUAAUUGGUGCUUGUUUUUCAUAUAAUUAUCAUUGGUGUAGCAAAAAAUCCGUGGUACUUAGAUCAAGAGUUCAGGUAGGUCAUUGUUUUCACGUUUUUCAGUUGAUACUUUAAUUGCUGCUUGUUUUUCAUAUAAUAAUAUUGAUACAAUUUGGUAUAAUAUAUUUGUCAUAUAAUAAAUAUUGGUGUAGCAAAAAAUCUGUGGUACUUAGAUCAAGAGUUCAGGUAGGUCAUUGUUUUCAUGUUUUUUAGUUGAUAUUAUAAUUGGUGCUUAUUUUUCAUAUAAUAAUAUUGACAUAAUUUGGUAUAAUAUAUUUGUCAUAUAAUAAAUAUUGGUGUAGCAAAAAAUCUGUGGUACUUAGAUCAAGAGUUCAGGUAGGUCAUUGUUUUCAUGUUUUUUAGUUGAUAUUAUAAUUGGUGCUUAUUUUUCAUAUAAUAAUAUUGACAUAAUUUGGUAUAAUAUAUUUGUCAUAUAAUAAAUAUUGGUGUAGCAAAAAAUCUGUGGUACUUAGAUCAAGAGUUCAGGUAGGUCAUUGUUUUCACGUUUUUUAGUUGAUACUUUAAUUGCUGCUUGUUUUUCAUAUAAUAAUAUUGAUACAAUUUGGUAUAAUAUAUUUGUCAUAUAAUAAAUAUUGGUGUAGCAAAAAAUCUGUGGUACUUAGAUCAAGAAUUCAGGUAGGUCAUUGUUGUCACGUUUUUUAGUUGAUACUUUAAUUGCUGCUUGUUUUUUAUUUAAUAAUCAUUGAUUUAGCAAAAAAUCUGUGGUAGUUAGGUGAAGCCUUCAGGUAGGUUAUUGUUUUCAGGUGAUCCUCUAAUUGCUGCUUGUUUUUCAUAUAAUAAUAUUUUUAUACAGCGUGUCAAUUUUGAAAACUUUCCAUGCAAAUAUCUCUGAAACUAAAAAAGUUAGAAAAGCGCAAUUUGGUACAAAUGUUAUACAGAUAGGGAGAAUUUCAACCACCAUAUUUUGGUUCUAGGGUAAGUCACUCCUUGGGCCCCAAAUUUUAAAUGGCACCACUCCUUUUGUGAUAUUUUAAAUUAAAGAUCUUUUGGAAUAAUAUUCACAUGCAGAAGAAUUUUUCCUAAAUUUUAUACAAAGGAAAAAAAAGUUAAAUAAAAUAAACUCUAGUUGACCCCCAGAGAAAAAGUCGAGGGGUGUUAAAUCUGGUGAUCUCGCCGGCCAUUUCAUUGGACUUUUUCUCCCAAUCCACUAAUCUGCAAGCGCAUUAAUGUGAAAAUUGUCUCACAGGAAGAACAUAGUGAGGUGGAUCUCCAUCUUGUUGAAAACGUAAUAAAUCUUUGCUUAGGUUCCUACCUCCCAUGAAUAUCCAACUGAUUUUCUAUUUCUUCAACAGUUGUAAUUAUUUCAAUUCUUAAAGCCAUACUGUAAACUAACACAAUGUUUUCUAAAACUAGGCCCAAACAUCUACUUUCUGGUACGACCUGAAACCUGCAUUCCAACAUACUGCAUUAAAA